rnacentral:rRNA from 1 species
CCUACGGGUGGCAGCAGUGGGGAAUAUUGCACAAUGGGGGGAACCCUGAUGCAGCGACGCCGCGUGGGUGAAGGAGUACUUCGGUACGUAAAGCCCUAUCAGCAGGAAAGAAAAUGACGGUACCUGUCUAAGAAGCCCUGGCUAACUACGUGCCAGCAGCCGCGGUAAUACGCAGGGGGCAGGCGUUAUCCGGAUUUACUGGGUGUAACGGGAGCGUAGUAGGCAGUGCAAGUUCGGAGUGAAAGCCCGGGGCUCAACCCGGGGACUGCUCUGGAAACUGUAAAGCUGGAGUGCGGGAGGGGCAGGCGGAAUUCCUGGUGUAGCGGUGAAAUGCGGAGAUAUCAGGAGGAACACCGGCGGCGAAGGCAGCCUGCUGGACCGUAACUGACGUUGAGGCUCGAAAGCGUGGGGAGCAAACAGGAUUAGUUACCCCUGUAGUC